rnacentral:rRNA from 1 species
CCUACGGGUGGCUGCAGUGGGGAAUCUUGCGCAAUGGGCGAAAGCCUGACGCAGCCAUGCCGCGUGAAUGAUGAAGGUCUUAGGAUUGUAAAAUUCUUUCACCGGGGACGAUAAUGACGGUACCCGGAGAAGAAGCCCCGGCUAACUUCGUGCCAGCAGCCGCGGUAAUACGAAGGGGGCUAGCGUUGCUCGGAAUUACUGGGCGUAAAGGGAGCGUAGGCGGACUGUUAAGUUAGAGGUGAAAGCCCAGGGCUCAACCUUGGAAUUGCCUUUGAUACUGGCAGUCUUGAGUACGGAAGAGGUAUGUGGAACUCCGAGUGUAGAGGUGAAAUUCGUAGAUAUUCGGAAGAACACCAGUGGCGAAGGCGACAUACUGGUCCGUUACUGACGCUGAGGCUCGAAAGCGUGGGGAGCAAACAGGAUUAGAUACCCUGGUAGUC